rnacentral:rRNA from 1 species
CCUACGGGGGGCAGCAGUAGGGAAUCUUCCACAAUGGGCGAAAGCCUGAUGGAGCAACGCCGCGUGUGUGAUGAAGGGUUUCGGCUCGUAAAACACUGUUGUAAGAGAAGAAUGACAUUGAGAGUAACUGCUCAAUGUGUGACGGUAUCUUACCAGAAAGGAACGGCUAAAUACGUGCCAGCAGCCGCGGUAAUACGUAUGUUCCAAGCGUUAUCCGGAUUUAUUGGGCGUAAAGCGAGCGCAGACGGUUAUUUAAGUCUGAAGUGAAAUCCCUCAGCUCAACUGAGGAAUUGCUUUGGAAACUGGAUGACUUGAGUGCAGUAGAGGAAAGUGGAACUCCAUGUGUAGCGGUGAAAUGCGUAGAUAUAUGGAAGAACACCAGUGGCGAAGGCGGCUUUCUGGACUGUAACUGACGUUGAGGCUCGAAAGUGUGGGUAGC